UACGGAGGGAGCUAGCGUUGUUCGGAUAUACUGGGCGUAAAGCGCACGUAGGCGGCGUCGUAAGGCAGGGGCGAAAUCCCGGAGCUCAACUCCGGAACUGCCCUUGAAACUGCAAUGCUAGAAUCUUGGAGAGGCGAGUGGAAUUCCGAGUGUAGAGGUGAAAUUCGUAGAUAUUCGGAAGAACACCAGUGGCGAAGGCGACUCGCUGGACAAGUAUUGACGCUGAGGUGCGAAAGCGUGGGGAGCAAACAGG
rnacentral:rRNA from 1 species